rnacentral:lncRNA from 1 species
GAAAAUUUAAAUGGAGAUGUGAAGAGAACGAUGUAUGUACAAAAUGCUCUUCCCCAGCGGAGCCAGGUAGAGCAGAAACACUGACAUUGAAGUCCUGCUGUCAUCUACCCAUGUGUCUUCCUGUUUCAAGGAGCCAUUCUGAGGGAAAUCUAGGACUGCCACCCUACUGUGGGUGUGGGGCAUGUUUCUUGUUCCUGGGGCCAGUAGGGGAAGUGGAGUGUCACAAUUCCUAUGUGUUCUAACUCUUCUCUGGGUUUGUAUCACAUUCCCCUACCUAGGAUGUCAGAGAGUGAGUUGAGGGACAGACAGAUUGGGCUUCUCUGAAUCACAGAAUCUCAGAAUCCCCACAAAGGGAUAUUGGUGUUUCUCAAACUUUCUGAAAUCACAGAACACCAAUGGAUAAUAUUUGUCAUGCUUCCCUGCUAUGAAACUGUUACUUAAAAAUAGAUGUCAUCCUGCUCUUUGCAUAGCCACAUACAGAGCAAAACCCCAAGGAGAUGUAAUUUCUUUAGGUCUUGAGGUUGCAAAGAGAGGUAACAUUGUAUCUGUCUCAAUUAACCAAAAAAUAUAUAAUAACAUUGUUGUUUACUAAUUCUUAUGGCCAUUUGCAAUUCUUUAAUAGGAUCUAGACUAGAUUUCCAUGAACUCUAUAGUUGAAGCCACCAAUACCAGGAUUUAGCCCCUUGCAGUAAGGGGCCAUAUCAGAAACCACAUUCCUUUCUUGAUUGGUCUUUACUGAACACGAAGGGUGGCAGUCGAUGGCAUCUUUGGAGUCAUCUGUAAUAAUUUACAGCAGGAAGCCUCCAUCAGGAAGCUAAUGCACUUUGAACUUCAGAGUCUUGCCUUGCAAAGACCCUUUGGUAAUUUGGUAUCUUGUCAUUUGUAUUAUUUAUUAAAGAGGGCCUCCAAAUUAUUCAAGCUUUGGACCCCACAAAACCUGGAUCCAUUGCUGCUUAUGUUCACUUGUGGCAGAAAAAGCUGAACGUACAUUCAAGAUUCUGUCCCCUUCUGCUUGGCCAGUUACACCCCAGCCCCUUCCAUCUAUGUGACUUGGCUCUGACUAAUGGAGUGUGGGGGGAAAUAAUAUUCCCACAAUCCCGGGCCUGACUUAUUAGAACUUCCCACACAAUUCUC